rnacentral:rRNA from 1 species
AGAGUUUGAUCCUGGCUCAGGAUGAACGCUAGCGGCAGGCCUAAUACAUGCAAGUCGAGGGGUAGGGGAGAGCUUGCUUUCCCUGAGACCGGCGCACGGGUGCGUAACGCGUAUGCAACCUACCCUUUUCUGGGGGAUAGCCCGGAGAAAUCCGGAUUAAUACCGCAUAAGACCACACGGCGGCAUCGCCGAGGGGUCAAACAUUCAUGGGAAGAGGAUGGGCAUGCGUGCCAUUAGCUAGUUGGCGGGGCAACGGCCCGCCAAGGCGACGAUGGCUAGGGGCUCUGAGAGGAGAAUCCCCCACACUGGUACUGAGACACGGACCAGACUCCUACGGGAGGCAGCAGUAAGGAAUAUUGGUCAAUGGGCGCAAGCCUGAACCAGCCAUGCCGCGUGCAGGAAGACGGCCCUCCGGGUUGUAAACUGCUUUUGCACGGGAAUAAACCCCGGGUCGUGACCCGGGCUGAAUGUACCGUGAGAAUAAGGAUCGGCUAACUCCGUGCCAGCAGCCGCGGUAAUACGGAGGAUCCGAGCGUUAUCCGGAAUUACUGGGCGUAAAGCGCGUGUAGGCGGCUGUUUAAGUUGGACGUGAAAGCUCCUGGCUCAACUAGGAGAGGUCGUUCAAAACUGGGCAGCUCGAGGAUGGUAGAGGCAAGUGGAAUUCCCGGUGUAGUGGUGAAAUGCGUAGAUAUCGGGAGGAACACCAGUGGCGAAGGCGGCUUGCUGGGCCAACCCUGACGCCGAGACGCGAAAGCUAGGGGAGAGAACGGGAUUAGAAACCCCGGUAUUCCUAGCCGUAAACGAUGUCAACUAGGUGUAGGUGGUUAUUGACCCCAUCUGUGCUGUAGCAAACGCGUUAAGUUGACCGCCUGGGGACUACGGCCGCAAGGCUAAAACUCAAAGGAAUUGACGGGGACCCGCACAAGCAGCGGAGCGUGUGGUUUAAUUCGAGGCUACGCGAAGAACCUUACCAGGGCUUGACAUACAACUGGUAGUGAAGCGAAAGCGGAACGACCCUUCGGGGAGGUUAUACAGGUGCUGCAUGGCUGUCGUCAGCUCGUGCCGUGAGGUGUUAGGUUAAGUCCUGUAACGAGCGCAACCCUCGUCGUUAGUUACAAGUGUCUAACGAGACUGCCGGUGAUAAGCCGGAGGAAGGUGGGGAUGACGUCAAGUCAGCAUGGCCUUUAUGUCCUGGGCUACACACACGCUACAAUGGCCGGUACAAUGGGCAGCCAAGCCGCGAGGCGGAGCCAAUCCCGAAAAGCCGGUCUCAGUUCGGAUUGUAGGCUGCAACUCGCCUGCAUGAAGUCGGAGUUGCUAGUAACCGCGCGUCAGCAACAGUGCGGUGAAUACGUUCCCGGGUCUUGUACACACCGCCCGUCACGUCAUGGGAGUUGGCAACGCCUGAAGUCGGUGGGCUAACGGCGCGAAGCGCUGAGGCAGCCGCCUAAGGCGGGGUCGGUAGCUGGGACGAAGUCGUAACAAGGUAACC